rnacentral:rRNA from 1 species
UACAGAGGGGGCAAGCGUUGUUCGGAAUUACUGGGCGUAAAGGGCGCGUAGGCGGCCCGCUAAGUCGAACGUGAAAUCCCCGAGCUCAACUCGGGAACUGCGUCCGAUACUGGUGGGCUUGAAUCCGGGAGAGGGAUGCGGAAUUCCAGGUGUAGCGGUGAAAUGCGUAGAUAUCUGGAGGAACACCGGUGGCGAAGGCGGCAUCCGGGACCGGCAUUGACGCUGAGGCGCGAAAGCUAGGGGAGCAAACGGG